UAAAACWAGGAUUAGAUACCCUAGUAUGAAUAAUCUGAAUAGAUUAGUUUUGAUUGAAAUUUAAAAACUUAGGCGGUUAAUAGUUGCUUAGAGGAGCUUGUCUGUAAUAAGAAAUUAUUCUUUAUAUUUUAUUAACUUUUAAAGCUUAUUCAUCUCCGUUAUUAGAAUUUUAUUUUUGAAAGAAUUUUAUCUUAUAUUUCAGGUCAAGAUGUCGUAUUAGUUAAAAAGGAUUAGCUACAAUUAAGGGGCAAUGAAACUCUAAAAGUAGAUAAGAGGUAAAUUGAAUUUAGUAGUAAUAUUGUACUACUAGAAAGUAGGUGUGAAUAGGAUUUAUUAAUGUACAUAUUGCCCGUCACUUCUGUUAAUGGAGAUGGAAUAAGUCGUAACAAAGUACAAUUUAAGGGA
rnacentral:rRNA from 1 species